GGCCUGGAGCGGGAAGGAGGGGACAGCGGGUCACGGGGCGGCGACACAGCCGGCAGGGCUGGAGGAGGGCGCCGGGGCUCAGGAGUUUAUUCCCCAUUGAACGCGACAAAACGGCUCCCGAGCUAUCCCUGGCACAGGGUACGAGCCAUCCCCAAGGGGGACAAGCCGGCGCAGGUUCGAAGGGAGCCGAGGUGCCGGCAGUGCUGUCUGUGCCGGGGAAACCCCCGCAGCUCCCGGGCUGUGCCCUCCCUGUCCCUGCCAGACAAAGGCUCAGCCACGAACUCGCGUACGGAGCCGAACAAGGGGCUCCUUUCUGCAGGCUCAAUCCUCCUUCUCUAUCACGCCGUGAGCAGCCCCUCCAAAACCCUCUUGGCCGGCUGCUGCCGCCGCCGAGGCAGCCGGGAAGCGACUGUUCCACAGCCUGACGGGCACCCCGGGGACCGUCCCCCCCACCCCGAGCGGCAGCAUCCCUCAGGGAAGGUCACCCGCUCGCUCGUGAUCCCGGUGGGUAAAAAUAGCCAGGGCAGAGGUGCCGGCGCCUGCGCCCGGGCAGGGACGAGAGGGGCGGCCGAGCCCCCUGAGCCGGGGGGAGGGCAAAGCCAGACCCCCUUCCUUGGCCAAAUUUAAAAAAAAGGCUGAAAAUCCCCUUUCAGCCCAGUUACUGAGGUGGGACAGGAUCCAGCAUCUCGGGAAUGGAGAUGUGACCUCCCCUUCAGGCCUUUUUUGAGGAGAGGAUGACACCCCCCCAAGGCCAAACCCUGCAGUGGCAUCAUCUCCACAGCUCAGCCCUGGCCCCAGCUAGGCCAGCAUGAGGCUGGCAGCACUAAUUAGGAGUUAGCAGGCACCAGGAUGCCUCUUCCCUAGGAAAAACAUCCUCUGGAAGACGCUGGUUUUCUUACAAGGGACAGAGACUGCUGCACCCCCCAAAAACUCCUUGGGAUGGGGGGAGACCAUGGACCCCAAAGUCUCCCCCAGUCCAUUGCAUGGAUGCCUCCUGCCCAAAUCCUUAACCCACUGUCAAAUAUUUGUUCAAGUGGUGACAGUCUUUAAAGCAAAGAGCCAAAACCCAAGGGCACAUCCCAGUCCAAGUCCUUUCCCAGGCUCUGGGAGAGGCAUUUAAACACAACUACAUGCCACACACAUGUCCAGAAGUGACUGAAACGAGUUCCUUGGGUUGCUGCCAGAGGGAAGAGCAGGGUGGUUGUUUUGCAUAUAGGGGAGUUUGGGAUAAAGCCAGUACAAAAGUAUAUUCCCCCCCCAGAUACACAACACUGGAAGGAUUUGGAGGUAAAAGGCGAUUUUUGUGCUUUUUUUCAGCUGCGACGUGGCAGGGGACGCCAGGCAGGAUGGGCAGAGCCCCUUCCCCUGCUCCCGCCGCUCACCAUCCCACGGGGCUUUUUAAAGGCUAAAGGAAAUGAGCUAUCACGUGUGCUUGUGAUAUUUUUGUUCCUGGUGAAAAGGGGGAAAUCCCUUUCCGGCUCCCCAGCACAGCCCGGUCCUGCCUGAUGCAUCCCAGCCCUGGCAGCAUCUGGAGCACAUUUUGUGCUGGUCCCCCCCGACCCGGGGCCUCCCGGAACUGCCCCCGACCACAGCGGGGGGGAAAACCCCCCCUCCAGCCCAGCUCAUGCGCGGUAAAAGAAGCCUUAAAUCCCAGCGGCUGGUUUGAGUCAUCAUUUUCCUAGCAGGAGCUGGCAGCUAUUUCCAUCUGCACUGGUCCUUACAGCCCCCAGCAGGCACAGGGCACCCACACAUCCACAUGUACCCCGGCAAUUUCCAUGCCCUCCCUGCCCAAUCCUAACCCAACCCGCCUCCACAAAUAAAACCCCACUGCAGGAGCACUUUGCACCAGAUUUUUGAUGUUUCCUUCUUAAAAUAACAAGGGAUUUCAGAAUUUCUCCUGUGGUGAGUAAGCCCAGCAACCCAGCCAUGCCACUAAAUAGCCUUCCACUCCCAAAUUCAUUCCCAGGAUCCUAAAUUGUCUCCUGGGUCCCCUGUGCUCAUCAAACACAAGUUUCUCUUUGAUUGCAGGAGAUAAUGAAAUGAGGCUAUUAAAAGGUCCCAGCAAAUUGCUCUGCUGCUUUUACAGCUGGAUGGUUUUUUCCAAUCAUACAAUCCUUCAUUUCAGGACGAGUGCUGGAGUGAUGUGACCGACAGCCCCAGGGCCUGGAGGAUGCCUGUCCCUUCCCCAUCAGCUGUAAUGCCACCAGGCACAUCCCCACCCAGCAUCUUAAGGCCCGAGCGCCGCCGGAGGUUGCAGCCCUGCGGGCAGAGCGCCGAGGAACGCGCCCCACUUGCCUCCACGUCAGCUCCUGUUAGCCUGGAAGGGACCAUACCCCGUCCCUCUGCAUCACGGGGCUUCCAGAGCCUGACCAAGGGCUGGCGAGAACAGCACAGGUGCCUGCAAGGACGUGGCCACACCACAGACAUGCUCCCCAGGACAGGCAGGGCCCCUGCUCCCAGUCCAUCACCACAGCACCCCGGGAGCCGCCGGCAGCACCCCGAGCGUCCCCGCUGGCUGCCAGGAAGGAACCACUCUCCCUCCACCACUGCUGCUCGUUUUACCAGCCUGGGCCCUUAAGGUUUGUGCCUGAUGCCUCACCAGGAAAAUAUGUGCAGGAGUGUGGGACGGGCGGAUGCUGCACCAGGGAGGUGCCGCCGCUGCUGCCGUUUGUGGCCCUUUGCCCUGGGAAGGUGAGCAGGGACAGGGGGCCCCACUGCACUUUCCUUUCCUCCACCCUGGGUCUCACCAGCACCGAGGCUGGGAGGCAGUGGAAAACCAAAGGCUUUCCUUUGGCUCUCCAGGGCUGGUUAAUGGGUGCUGUGACCCACAGCCGCCCCCUCUCCCCUGGGGCACAGCCCGAGCUGAGAACUGCAAACUUGGCUCACACUGUGGGUAAACCAGCCCAGGUUUGCUCUGCCUGCAGGCAACACCCAGAGGCCUUUGAUGUCAUUAGGGAAAUUGUACCUAUGAGAUUUUAUCACAGGGAAGUUAUGGGCCUCCCAGGCCAGAGGCCAUCAAUCCCAGCACAGCCCAGUUACAGCCAGCGACUCCCAUUAAAUGUAAAAUUAGAGCAGUUCCACUGGCGAGGGCCCCUGACUUCUCUCUGCUAGCUGGGGCUCUGCUCAGACACCUGGGGAGAAGGGGGAGCAUUUCCAGCUUCCUAAUUAGCCCAAUUACUGCUGCAGAUCAAAAAAGUCCUUUGGUGGGGACAUGGUGGCACCCGGAGCAAAGUGACUGCAGCUUGUUCUGGUUUCCCAAGAGCGGUUGUUGAGGGGGUUAUUUUAGAUCCCCAGCACUGAACCACCCCUCCAGUAAGAAAAAAAAAAUCCAUAUAUCACAGUGCAGAGAUACAGAUAGAUGAUACAAAUUUUUGUAUAUAUUUACCACUUAUCCAUGUGCAGUU